AAGUUUAAUGUCAGAGUGGGAAGUGAUGCAGGCAGAUAGAGAGGAGAGGAAGUUUAAUGUCAGAGUGGGAAGUGAUGCAGGCAGAUAGAGAGGAGAGGAAGUUUAAUGUCAGAGUGGGAAGUGAUGCAGGCAGAUAGAGAGGAGAGGAGAGGAAGUUUAAUGUCAGAGUGGGAAGUGAUGCAGGCAGAUAGAGAGGAGAGGAAGUUUAAUGUCAGAGUGGGAAGUGAUGCAGGCAGAUAGAGAGGAGAGGAGAUCAAGUUUAAUGUCAGAGUGGGAAGUGAUGCAGGCAGAUAGAGAGGAGAGGAAGUUUAAUGUCAGAGUGGGAAGUGAUGCAGGCAGAUAGUCAGAGAGGAAAGGAAGUUUAAUGUCAGAGUGGGAAGUGAUGCAGGCAGAUAGUCAGAGAGGAAGUUUAAUGUCAGAGUGGGAAGUGAUGCAGGCAGAUAGAGAGGAGAGGAAGUUUAAUGUCAGAGUGGGAAGUGAUGCAGGCAGAUAGAGAGGAGAGGAAGUUUAAUGUCAGAGUGGGAAGUGAUGCAGGCAGAUAGUCAGAGAGGAAGUUUAAUGUCAGAGUGGGAAGUGAUGCAGGCAGAUAGAGAGGAGAGGAAGUUUAAUGUCAGAGUGGGAAGUGAUGCAGGCAGAUAGAGAGGAGAGGAAAGGAAGUUUAAUGUCAGAGUGGGUAGUGAUGCAGGCAGAUAGAGAGGAGAGGAAGUUUAAUGUCAGAAGGGGAAGUGAUGCAGGCAGAUAGAGAGGAGAGGAAGUUUAAUGUCAGAGUGGGUAGUGAUGCAGGCAGAUAGAGAGGAGAGGAAGUUUAAUGUCAGAGUGGGUAGUGAUGCAGGCAGAUAGAGAGGAGAGGAAGUUUAAUGUCAGAGUGGGUAGUGA